rnacentral:misc_RNA from 1 species
CCCAUCUUCUCUCUAUCGUUCCCUCCGCUAACGAACUCAAUAAUCUCAUUUUCAAUAGAUAUUAAGCUUAAUCCAGCAAUCUCGCUGGGCAAAAUUCCUCCUCCAUCUGUAGUAUUUACACAUUCGAUAAAUCUAUUUAAAGCGUCACCAGCACAAGCACCAAGAAGCAACAGGUUUUUCCCUUUCCCAUUUCUUUUCACUAAAGCCUCACCAAUUC